rnacentral:lncRNA from 1 species
CCAUUUCUUAGUUGUAAUGUUGUUCGAAAUCUUUAAAUACAGCAAUGGUGUGUUCUAUCCUACGUUUCGUUUAUUCCAGAACUAAAAUAAAUGUUUUUUUGGCACCUGAACCUUUUUUUAAAUCAAUUCGACUCUACUUUAAAUCUCUAUGCGUGUCAAUGGCCUUUUUAGCAUCAACUAAACAACUACCCUAAACACAACACUCACCUAGCACGUGUACAACUGGUUGGGUGGGAGUGUGUGCAAACAGAAAGCCACACCUUCCCCAGGUUCGCCAACGCCUAUUAACAUGUACCGUGUGUAGUGCAAUUUUUUUUAGGAGGGUCAAAGGUCGCUUAUUACGCCUGCGCUGGUUCAGGAAUUGUUUCAUCAUUAAACCUAGCUUAAACAUACUUAAAUAGACACAGCUUUUGACAGUGAUUGCUACUACACACAAUAUUGUUUGCUUAGAAGUUUGGGACACACACACAGCAACGGUACGUUGUUUUCAGAUUUUCGGAAUUCAGACAUCGAGAGAUUUGGAAUUUGUUAUUUCUGAAAUCAUAAACUGCUUCCUAGGGUAAAUCCUAAAUUUGUUACGGCCAAAUGUAAAAAAAUAUUGUGUGUUAUUUGGGCAGAACCUUGCAGUAAUUGACGAAGUGUUUUCUGAUGUUAAUUUGCCUGAUAUAUUAAAAUGGAUAGCGUGAUACAUAAUUUGGACAACGAAACAGUUUCCCUAGAAGAGAGGGAACCUAAAAAGUCGAUUAAAAAAGCUAAACGGAAACGAUCAACUUCUGGAAUUAGGCAAGGUAAAGAGAAGCAGAAAGCAGACGAUGGAACAGCAGCGUCUACUAAGCAAAAAGCUCCUGAGGAUGAAUGUCAGACAAUAAAUAUCACAGAGACAACGAAUUUGAGUUCCAGUUCUACCGGCGAACAGUUUUACAAUAAUAACAUUCUAUACGACGUCUUGAGUGAGAAAAAAAAGGAAUUUUUGCAGUCACCUGAAGUGAUACAAUUUUUAAGAAGCCAUGUGAAAAGCUCAUGACAGUUUGCUUCUACGUUAUCACAUUAAAUCUUGAGACUGUGCUAUGAAACAAAUUGUGAAGGGCUCCUGUACAAUAUCUUAUCCUCUUGAAUGAUAUUGCAAACAUUGUAAUGGAUCUUGUGGAAGAUUUGUCUGGAGUUUAUUGUCUCCAAAUAAUUUUCUGUUGCAAAGUACUGUAGCAAUGCAAAUGUGCAUGCAUUCGAUUUUCGUGAAACCAUAAAUAAGAAUAUAGGACUAACAAGCAUUUUUAAGAACUGAUGAAUAUGUCUGUAUUCUCAAAGAUUCUGUUGCUGAAAGAAGAUAGUAGAAAUACAGUAAAAUUUUUUAUCAAAGUCUCUUUCUGUGUUAGUGUCCAUGUGAAAUUUAAUUAAAUUAAGGUGGAAUAGAAACCUUUCAAAUAUGCUCGAUGAAUUUUAGAGAUGUAGAAGGAAGGAAUAUGGAAGUAAUAAUGACUCACGAUAAGUGUUCUGGAUUAAGAAUGUGAUUGUGAUAUUUCAAAAUAAAUUACCACCAAUAUUCCCUUUA